CUUCCAAUCUGUGGCCUCAGGGCAAACAGGUGAUCAGGAGUGCGUGUGUGCGCGCGCGCGUGUGUGUUCAGCAUUUGCACAGCUGGCUGGCAUGGAAGAUAGACACUGUUACAAAUUCUUUACCACAAAAGAGGAACGCUGCACAGAGGUGGUCAAGAACCCAGAUACAGGAAAGCACCCAGCACAUGUACAACCCCAUCGUCCCCGAAGCUGCCUUGGCUAUGGGACUUCUUUGGCUGGUGGGAAGUUGCUGAGGGAACGGGGGAACGGGCUACUUCCAUACAGAGUUGUAACAGCC